AAUGCUGACGUUUCUUCCACACAGCGUUGCAUUGAGCCAGCCAACGAAAAAUUUAUUUGAGAAACAAAUGGAAUGACGAAAGUGAUGAUUUUCGCCAAUUCAGCUCCAACUAGCCCCAAUACAGCGGGCGCAACAAAGAUGAAACUAGUUGCAUUCGAGCAAGCGUUCAUAAAUGAUCGACCGACCGCAUAUAGUGCGUCGCGUUGUGAGUGUGUGAACGCAAAAAAAAAAAAAGAAGCAGGGAAAACGAUACGAAAAUACAAAGGAGAAAAAUCGAUAUGUCAAGAAACUGGUUGAAAGUUUCUUGGAAUAAUUAAACAAUUGUACGAAAUGUGUGAUGAUGUCCUUUAGGCUUAAUACACCGAUAAAUGCGCAAGAACUUGCAAUGCCUGUUUGCAUAAGGUGUCAACAAAACACAAGAUGGCAGCGAAUAUGGGGUACACGGCGAAUUGCGUAGAUGAGCGAGAAUGGACGAAAUCGUGAGAUACAUACAGAACGGAAAGCAAGCAAAACGGAACUAUUCAAAAUCAAGAAAUGACAAGCAAGGGCGAUACAACAAUAACAACGCUAAUCAAAUGUUAAACGUGCAACAGACGGUGGCGGGUCGUCACUUCUUAUAAUACACAAAAUUAUACAUACAUACGUACCUAUUUGCACAUAUUGCCUACAUAUUUGCUGCUACAUUUCACCCAAAGCAAAUUCUACCACCAGUAGCUAUGCUAUGAAUUAAGAAUUAGCGAAGCUAAGCCGCCUGCUGGUUUGCCGUCACUUUCUCCACAUUGAGGUAGAUAAGUAAUACGGUUUUGCUUGGAAAGUUCAGUCGUUUUGAUGAACAAAUAUCAGCAUUUGCAUAAAUGCGACACCCUUAGCUAGUAAUCGAAGGAAGCUUUAUUGAGGCACAAGGGGCCCACGAGAAUGCUGGUAAAAAAACUUCCCGCACAUAUGUAGCGAAAUUGACAUUGAUCAUUGAGCUUCAUGCCUUAUAGUUCCAUUUGUCAAGAGCAUUGGAAACGCAAAUUAGUAGUAGUAGUAUGUACAUAUGCACCCAGCAAACACAGUCUCUCUUAAUGUUAGGGAAACAUUGUAUUUUAGUAGAAUUCUAAUAAAGUCUCUAAUAUAUCUCGAA